rnacentral:rRNA from 1 species
AGCGAACGCUGGCGGCAGGCCUAACACAUGCAAGUCGAACGAACCCUUCGGGGUUAGUGGCGGACGGGUGAGUAACACGUGGGAACGUGCCUUUAGGUUCGGAAUAACUCAGGGAAACUUGUGCUAAUAACGAAUGUGCCCUUCGGGGGAAAGAUUUAUCGCCUUUAGAGCGGCCCGCGUCUGAUUAGCUAGUUGGUGAGGUAAUGGCUCACCAAGGCUACGAUCAGUAGCUGGUCUGAGAGGAUGACCAGCCACAUUGGGACUGAGACACGGCCCAAACUCCUACGGGAGGCAGCAGUGGGGAAUCUUGCGAAAUGGGCGAAAGCCUGACGCAGCCAUGCCGCGUGGAUGAUGAAGGUCUUAGGAUUGUAAAAUCCUUUCACCGGUGAAGAUAAUGACUGUAGCCGGAGAAGAAGCCCCGGCUAACUUCGUGCCAGCCGCCGCAGUAAAAC